AGGACGAACGCUGGCGGCGUGCCUCAUACAUGCAAGUGGAGCGACGAACCAGGAUUUAUCCUGGGGCAAAGCCGCGAACGGGUGAGUAACACGUGGGUCACCUGCCCCGAUGAUUGGGACAACCCGAGGAAACUCGGGCUAAUACCAAAUGUGGUCUUGGUCGUGAUGGCCAAGAAAAAAGGAAGCUUCGGCCUCCGCAUCGGGAUGGGCCCGCGGCCCAUUAGCUAGUUGGUGGGGUAAUGGCCUACCAAGGCGACGAUGGGUAGCUGGUCUGAGAGGACGAUCAGCCACACUGGGACUGAGACACGGUCCAGACACCUACGGGUGGCAGCAGUCGAGAAUUUUUCUCAAUGGGGGAAACCCUGAAGGAGCGACGCCGCGUGGAGGAUGAAGGUCUUCGGAUCGUAAACUCCUGUCAUGAGGGAACAAACCUACAUGUUUAACUGAUGUGUAGCUGAUAGUACCUCAAGAGGAAGGGACGGCUAACUCUGUCGCCAGCAGCCGCGGUAA
rnacentral:rRNA from 1 species